UCGUGUUCGAGCUCGCGUCC
rnacentral:miRNA from 1 species